CUACGUGCCAGCAGCCGCGGUAAUACGGAAGGUCCAGGCGUUAUCCGGAUUUAUUGGGUUUAAAGGGAGCGUAGGCGGACGAUUAAGUCAGCUGUGAAAGUUUGCGGCUCAACCGUAAAAUUGCAGUUGAAACUGGUUGUCUUGAGUGCACGCAGGGAUGUUGGAAUUCAUGGUGUAGCGGUGAAAUGCUUAGAUAUCAUGAAGAACUCCGAUCGCGAAGGCAUAUGUCCGGAGUGCAACUGACGCUGAGGCUCGAAAGUGCGGGUAUCGAACAGGAUUAGAUACCCUGGUAGUCCGCACAGUAAACGAUGAAUACUCGCAGUAUGCGAUAUAAUGUAUGCUGCCAAGUGAAAACGUUAAGUAUUCCACCUGGGGAGUACGCCGGCAACGGUGAAACUCAAAGGAAUUGACGGGGGCCCGCACAAGCGGAGGAACAUGUGGUUUAAUUCGAUGAUACGCGAGGAACCUUACCCGGGAUUGAA
rnacentral:rRNA from 1 species